GCUGGGGUGGGUUUAGCCCCCUGCACUACGCCGCUCUCCAGGGCAACAGGCCUCUCGUCAACCUCUUGGUGAGCCAUGGUGCUGACUGCAACGCGCUCUGCCAAGCAGGCCAGACACCCUUUCAUUUCGCCAGCAGGUCCGUGUUCCCUUCACGAUUUGCCUGUACCUCUCCUCAGUACAGCAAGUUAUGUACCACCAUCACUUCAUCCUGCUGCUGUAAUAGCAUUUCACGUGUCUCUGGCCGUUAACGUGUUGUGGAAAGAGGAAAGUGGAAGAGGAAACGUGCGGGAGCACCAUCCAAAAAUCUCCAAAUAUAUCACACAUAAAUUUUCUUUAUUCCCAGACAGGGCAAUGUCUACAUUAUGCAUCAGAUGCUUCAACAUGGCGCAGACCUUCGUAUUGCUGACCUUCAGGGAAAAACUGCCUUUCUGCAUGCGGUCUCUGGCGGGAGUGUGGUUGCUGUGCAAUACUUGUCUGAGACCAAGAUGUUCAGUUUUUCUGACACUGACAAUUUCCUGAUCAGUCCGCUGCACCUGGCGGCCUCCACGGGCAAUCUAGACAUGGUGAAGUACUUGCUGAGGAACAACAGGUGUGCGGCCGAUGCCUCCGACCAACAGGGGGCAACAGCACUGCAUGUGGCUGCAGAGAGGGGGGCAGUAGAAGUGAGUUGGCUGCUGAUGCGAGAGGCUGGCCUGCAGGCUUUGCACCUGCGCAACCAUAAUGGGUUCACCCCCCUUGACCUGUGUCGACAAGGGGCCACCUUCAGGUAUGCAGGAAAGAGCACCACUGGAAAAGUGGCCACACCUGUGUUGUCAGUGAGCAUUUUUUUUCCAGUGUUAUCAGUGCACUUUCCCCCUCUGUGUCAUUACAGACAUCAACAAUUAGCACAGAUUUUAAUGAAGUUCAUCAGCGUGCCAGCUGAUCACAGACCUGAAGAGUCACAUGGCAUGUACUACUGGGCCCUCCUGUUCCCAUCUCUCAGUGGUGGAGCCAUCUUCCUAAUGGCUGUGUUACUGGGCGGCUACGGAGGGAUACUGUGUGUCCUGCUCUUCCCCUGGCUGGCCAAGUGCAUUUUCACCCAGUACCACAGAAUGAGCAGCUACCAAAGGCAAGUGACCCUGAGUCCUAAGCCAUGUAAGCACCCAUCAUUGGAAGGUGCAUUGGAGAGUAUGGCUGGCAGCUGACCUGGACACCUUAGUCCAAGUAACCAGCCUGCAUUUCAGCAAUCAGGACCACAAUAUUGUUGUGGUUGCUGGCCUUAUAGGUUAAGUCCCCUGUGCCAUUGCAACGAACAAAAGCCCCCUCAUUACUGUUAGAUGUUAGAUGAAACGCCAAGAUGGGAUCAGUGCCGUUGCUCAGUCUAAUCUAACUGGAUUUCAGAUUGCCCAACCCUGUUUACCUGGGUACUCUGGCAGCUGGGAUACUGCACUCGCUGGUGUGCUUUUAUGUCAAGAUCAUGCCGAAUAUCCUUUAUCUUAUCCAGUCUGAGUGAUUUUAGAGUGGACAUAAAAUUGAGAAUGUUGAGGUUCCUUAAUGAAGAUCUACAUAUCCAGCCUUCUAAUUCAUUGCUCCACGUGUCCAUCAUCCACUUCUCCUUGGUUCUGUGGCUGUUCUGGCAUCUUCUCAUCAAGAAUCCUGGACAUAUGCAGGGGGCUGAUGCCGACCCCAGGUUUUCCAGCAUUGCUGACCUCGUGGAAGCCAACGAAAGCCUCAGUAGGUUUUGCAUUGAAUGCGAGGUAAGAGUUCACACUGUCCAUUGCGUGCUGUUAUUGCACUGUAACACACUGCAAAAACACAGAAAUUUUACCUGUCAUUUAAAGGGCAGAUUUUUACUUUUCAUCGUUUUUACCCAUAACGGAAAUACUUACUGUCCACUUUCUUUGAUAUUCGUCAGAUGUUGUUGUAGAAUAAAGAAGUAAAACAGUCCCUCCA
ensembl:lncRNA